CACUGCUGAGUUUGUCCUGGUGGAUCAUCAGGGGUGCAGAUGUAACAGAGUUAGAAAAUAGCUUAAUGAAUUUCCUCAAAAUUGAUGUGCUUUGUGACUAGUUGGAGCCACCUGGUGGACAAAUACCGCAACUGCAACUGUUAAGGUUCCAAAUCGCUGCACAGCGCAUGCCUCAGCAAAGGAAAAUACUCCCAAGCUGGUGAACUGAAUGUUGCAGUUGCUUUGCACACUGUUAAUGACGACUGUGUGCUGUUUUCUUUGUACCAGGUAGGCGCUGUUAAGUGUAAGUUUUAAUUGAUGCUGUUGUAUAGGAAAAAACAUGAUGAACAAUGAUGAUUGUUUUAUAAUAGAAAAGCUGUUUUAUAUGUUAUUGUUGUUGUUGGUUAGGAAAAAGGAGAAAAAUAAAUAAAUAAUACUGCUACUAUACGAUCACAGGUUUGGUUUCAGCUAGAACUUUUAAAGAAAGACUUUGUUGAUGUUGUGUUGUAUAAAUAUAUCUUAGUCAUUUGUUAAGUGUUAUGUUGGGGGAAAAAAAGAAAAAAAGGAAAAUACUCCCAAGCUGGUGAACUGAAUGUUGCAGUUGCUUUGCACACUGUUAAUGACGACUGUGUGCUGUUUUCUUUGUACCAGUUGCCAGAAUAAAGAGGGAGCCCAGAGUAAGGGCAAGUCCAGC